GCGAAAGUGGCGGAAUUGGUAGACGCGCUAGCUUCAGGUGUUAGUGCCGCAAGGUGUGUGGGUUCGAGUCCCAUUCUUCGCACCA
rnacentral:tRNA from 1 species